UACGAAGGGGGCUAGCGUUGCUCGGAAUCACUGGGCGUAAAGGGUGCGUAGGAGGGCAGGUAAGUCAGUGGUGAAAUCUCCAAGCUUAACUUGGAACUGCCGUUGAUACUAUCUGUCUUGAAUAUUGUGGAGGUGAGCGGAAUAUGUCAUGUAGCGGUGAAAUGACUUAGAUAUGACAUAGAACACCAAAUUGCGAAAGGCAGCUCACUACUCAAUCAUUGACUCUGAGGCACGAAAGCGUGGGGAUCAAACAGG
rnacentral:rRNA from 1 species